rnacentral:lncRNA from 1 species
CUUUUAUGAUAUUUUUUUUAAAAUAAUUAAUUUGAAAAGGAGAUUGUAAUUUGAAAUGAUGAUUUUUAUUUGAAUUAGAAUUAAAAUUUUUAUUUUCUUAAAUUUUAAAAUUAUAAUUUCUAUUUCUUAAAAUUUUUAAUGGUAUUUUUAAUUUUUUUUUUCACCAAUUUUUUUCAGAUAUUUUUUUAAAAAAAUAAUUU